ACUCAGUGAGGUGUACUGUGGAUGACCAGUGGGCGGACGAUUUUGCCCCUCGCUCUCCCGUUGUGUGGCUUGCUUCGUGCAGUGGAAAGACAGUUUGCCCAUUCUUUCCACGCGUCCGUCAUCGUGCUUAAGGAACAGUUGCCCGGCUUGCCCACAUGUCCAUCAUCACUGGACCUGCUUUCGGCUUCUUCAGUGCUUUUCGCCUUUCUCUCUCACCAUUCUCAGUUUUUGCUAUUAUGAACCCUGGCUUUCUUUGUCUCGAAAACGGCGGUUUGUCUCGCUCAUCAACCUUGCCGUCUCUCUCACAAAUUAUCAACAACGAUGGUCUCUUGCCGGAAAAAGCACUCAGCUAGAACUUUUUUCGAUUUUUCAUUCGAAUCGAUUCAAUUUUUUACCCAAAAAAGUUAGUGUUUACUGGCUCGGAUCCUUCCUCAUCUUCUUCAUCCAAACCAGUAGCCCCACCUUCGAUUAUUACCGACGGAAACAUGACAUAUUAAGGCGCAACAACAAUACUGUAACACUUAUAAGAAAGAGCUCCAAACCUGCGAAGAUUCGUUCGAACACCUGCAGGAAGAAAUAAUAAGGCCGUUGAAGCGUAGAACGUAGGUUUACUUUGAUGCCAAGGUUAUGAAAAAAGAGUGGUUUGUACAUUAGCUAAGUACAUAUAAGUAUAUAUCUCUGUGUAUGUGUUUGUAUCAUUUGUUUUGAUUGCGAUUCUUGGUUUUGCGAUUAGGAUUUUUGGAAGGAGGCUUCGAUUCAAUUAUUGGAACAGAUAAUAUUUAUCGAAAAAUUCAAUGGGUCAGUAGAAGCUGGCUGCUUGCAAAGACAAGAACAUCAGUAUAUAUGCAUUGGAAUUUGUUGCGCUAGGAUAUGAAGAAGUGGAAAGGUACCUGGUGGAAUGUGAGUUUUGCUGCUUAAGACACAGAAUGUUGUUUGGAAGCAUAACUAUGUCUGCAAGAGAUUUACUGAGGAUCCGGAUUGCAUCAUGUUCUGAAUGAGCUUGAAAGAGGAGUUGCUCUUCAUCUGACAAUUGCAUCGCAUAAUAGGUUUUGUUAAUCUACCCAUGGUGGAACCCAGCUGUUGAGAGGCUACCAUAAGAUAGAAUCCACCAGAUAGGGCAGUACAAACCGAUCAGGCACACAUUUUUCUCCAGUUCUGUAAGGACAAGGUGUGGAUUGGAUAGCAGGAUCUGGUUGGAAGACAAGAUUUUGUGAAAGAAAGGAUUUGUGUUCGUGCAAGUGAUUUCAGACAGAUUUCAAGCUGGGGUGUAGAGUUUUGAUUCAAAUUGGUGGAUUUGGGAAAAUGAAGGAAGAGAAAGAAUUAAAUUCUGGAUUUAUCAAACACUUUGUAGAUAUUCCAUGCAUUUUUGCAGCUGGAAUCUUUUGGAGAUGCAAUCUAACUGAUUGUAAAAGAUGUCGACUAUGUUGAACAAAAAAUAGAAACUGCAUGUCUGUAUUAUGAGAGGAAAUGGAGAGCAAUCUGUCUCAGUUUUGGAAUGUGCUAGAAUCAAAGAAGCUAACUCAAGCUGCUAUUUCAAAGCUGGAGGAGGCAUUGUUGAUUAAUCCUAGGAAAUAUGAUGCUCUGUGGUGCUGGGAAAUGCUUAAAUUGCUUGCGCAAUGCACUCUGGACCAGAAUGAAGCAAAGGUUCCAAAAGGUGUUGUACUGCUUCCAGAAGGCUUCCAACGAGGAUAAAUGGAAAAGGCACAGCCAACUCCUAUUCAUCAGUUAAAAUCAUACACCAAAGCAAAAAAAAUCAAAAUCCGGUUAUGCAGGAUAUGGAAAUCGAUAAUCCCAGGCACUGUUCAAAAAUAUACAGCUUUGAACUGUAUAUUAGUUGAUGAAAUGGUGAGAUUAUUGAUUCAUUAUUUUAAUCAAAGACGGUAAUACUAAUAAUUAACUAGCCAGAAAAUAUUUUUCUACCCCUAUUUUUUAGAUGUUGGGGAAUAAAAUUUAAGUAUGCCGUGUUACACAAAAUGAACAGAUCAGUGUUUUCUUACCUUUUUUUAUGAAUUUUUUAUUUUCUUACCUUUUUUUCAUGGUGUUACAUUUUUUUUUUCUUAAAUUUUUUGGCAUUCAUACAUUUCUUUUCAAGUGUUGAUUAAAAUAAUUUAACUAUUUUCGAUAAUUCUUUUUCCUCAUGCUAACAAUUUGAUAAGUGUGUUGUUCUUUGUGUUAUUGAUAGUAUAAUCUAUUUUUUUAUUUAUUUUUUAAUUACUUUUGUAACUUUUUUUCCUUCUCUGUCUUGGCAUGAUAAAUUGUGAAGCAAGAUGCCGUUGAGGCGACCACAUUAAAUGUUGAGUAUGAUGUUAUGGUUGCGAAGAUUGAAGCUGGUGGAUGCUAUGAAAUCAUUGAUUUCCAUACCAGUAAAAUCAAGGGACAAUACAAAGUAGUCCCGCAUGAAACUCAAGUUUUGUUUAAUGCGGAAACAAAAUUUAAAAAAUUGGCCAGUGUGUUUCCACCCAUCCCUCGCCAUCGGUUCUUUCUACAAGAUUGCAACACACUUUACCCUCGCUUGGACAAGGUUGACAUCCUUACAUGUACUGUUAACAUGUCUAUGCAUAUAAAUCCAUUCAAACGCGUUGGUAUUUAUUUUCUAAAGUAGUAUUUAACAAUGUGCUUAUAUUUAUGUUUUAAAUUAUAAGAUGUUAUCGGUUGUAUAAGAGUCGUACAGUCCUUGGAAGAAAAACAGAUUAAUCAGAGGGUUGCAUACAAAUGUGAUGUGCACAUUCAGAAUAUAAGAAAAGAAGAACUCACGGUUACGUUAUGGGCAGACAUUGGUGAAGCUUUUUCUUUUUUGUCAACAGAGGCAUUUUCGCUGCCAGUCGUGGUUGUUUUCACAAGUUUAAAAGUCAGGCGCUACCUAGGCAAGAUUGUCUUAAACAGUACCAAUUCAUCACUUUUUUUCAUUGAUCCAGACAUCCCGGAAGUGAAUUCCUACAAGUUUUCCAACUGCAAAGAAUUUCCAAAAAUAUUGCCUUCAUCUUCAGACCAGGCAAAUGAAGCUAAACUUCUAUAGACUGCGAAAAAAGUUACAAUUGAUGAAUUGGCUUUCUUGGAUCCAGAUUUGUACAAGGAUGAGACAUUUCUAUGUAAAGCAGCUAUGAAGCAUUUUGACACACGUUACGAUUGGUGGUAUAGUGCCUGCCCCAUUUGUGUUAAACAAAUGCAUAAGGACCCAACAACUGCACAUCUAAUUUGUCAAAAACACCCAAAUCAAAUUCCAACACCUUGGUAUAAGGUCAAUCUGAUACUCGAAGAUGAAACCAAUGAGAUUGAUGCUUUGAUAAUUGGAAAAUGUGGUGAAAAACUUUUUGGCAUGAGCUGCAAAGAUUUGGUUCUGAAUCAGACAUUGGUGGACCAUCAUCAAUUACCAAAUGAAUUUCUUAGACUAAUCGGGCAAAAGAAAAUUUUCCAUCUGCGGUUUGGAAAUAGAAGAAAUAAUUUCAAUCCAAGCAAUGUCCUCAUUCACAAUGUAAUCGACGAUACAACCAUGCAACCAGCAACUCCACUGCCUUUGCCAAGAGAAAUCACAGGGUCUUCCACGACGGUUUCGUCUUCUAAUUCAAGUGCUGAAACUACUGCACAAUCGAAUAAAAGGAAGAGGGAAUCAAUCAAGAGGACUCUUUUCACCAACAAUGAGCAAAGAGAAAUGGAAGAAGUUUCAGAGGCGGAUCCAAGGGAGUUUGAUGAAGUUCCAAUAAAGUUGCUCAAAAAGAAAUCGUCACCAACUAGCGGAAAACUUGGUACCACUCCUGAAAAAACCAACUAGCUUGCUUGCUUAAGGAUGAACGAUGCAGUGCCAAAACUCAUCUCUGAUACUGAAACGCAGUAACCGUUUUUUGUUAAUAUGUAUCAAACAAUAUUGAUAAUAUUUGGCUGCCAUGUAAAUGUCUCUCUGGUCUGGACUUCAUAAUAUUUUUUGCAUGUACAAUAUUUGGCUGCCAUGUAAAUGUCUCUCUGGUCUGGACUUCAUAAUAUUUUUUGUAUGUACAUGCUGGUUCCACUUGAGAGGUAGAUGCAAGUGGUAGAAUCCAAUCAGUCACUUUAUGUUUUUUUUUUUUUGUCUAUCUGUAAAGAAAUAGGUUUUAAUCUUUUGUAUCUGGAUUGUACAAAUUUAAUAUUUUAUAUAUAAACCGCUUCCAACA